rnacentral:snRNA from 1 species
GGGAUCCACACCGUAGAUGUUUUGACCC